UACGUAGGGGGCAAGCGUUGUCCGGAAUUAUUGGGCGUAAAGAGCUCGUAGGCGGCCUGUUGCGUCCGCUGUGAAAUCCCGGGGCUCAACCCCGGGCCUGCAGUGGAUACGGGCUGGCUGGAGGCAGGCAGGGGAGAACGGAAUUCCUGGUGUAGCGGUGAAAUGCGCAGAUAUCAGGAGGAACACCGGUGGCGAAGGCGGUUCUCUGGGCAUUACCUGACGCUGAGGAGCGAAAGUGUGGGGAGCGAACAGG
rnacentral:rRNA from 1 species